rnacentral:tRNA from 2 species
AAGGCCCUAGCUUAAUUAAAGCACUUGAGUUGCAUUCAUGGGAUGUAGGUUAAUGUCCUGCGGGUCUUA